rnacentral:rRNA from 1 species
UGGGGAAUUUUCCGCAAUGGGCGAAAGCCUGACGGAGCAAUACCGCGUGAGGGAGGAAGGUCUUUGGAUUGUAAACCUCUUUUCUCAGGGAAGAAAAAAAUGACGGUACCUGAGGAAUAAGCAUCGGCUAACUCCGUGCCAGCAGCCGCGGUAAUACGGAGGAUGCGAGCGUUAUCCGGAAUUAUUGGGCGUAAAGCGUCCGUAGGUGGUGUUGAAAGUCUGCCGUCAAAGAGUGGAGCUUAACUCCAUAAAGGCGGUGGAAACUGCAAGACUGGAGUACAGUAGGGGUAGCAGGAAUUCCCAGUGUAGCGGUGAAAUGCGUAGAUAUUGGGAAGAACAUCGGUGGCGAAAGCGUGCUACUGGGCUUGUACUGACACUGAGGGACGAAAGCUAGGGGAGCGAAAG